GCUUGUCUCAAGAUUAAGCCAUGCAUGUCUAAGAAUAAACCGAAUAUGGUAAAUCCGCGAAUGGCUCAUUACAACAGCCUUAGUUUGUUGGAUCUAAAUCCACAGCAAUAACUGUGGAAAAGCCAGAGCUAACUCUGCAUUCAAGUCCCGACUUCGGAAGGGACGCAUUUGUUAGAACAAGACCAAUUGGCUUCGGCCAUCUAUUGGUGAAUCUGAGCAACUUAGCAGAUCGCAUGGGCUCGUCCCGGCGACAUAUCCUUCAAGUGUCUGCCUUAUCAACUGUCGAUGGUAGUUUAUUGGACUACCAUGGUUGUAACGGGUAACGGAGAAUUAGGGUUCGACUCCGGAGAGGGAGCCUGAGAUACGGCUACCACAUCCAAGGAAGGCAGCAGGC
rnacentral:rRNA from 1 species